CAGAUAUGCCCUAUGACAUUAAGUUUCUGGGAACUCCAAAAAACACCCACCCAUAAUCUCUGUUCAGUAGCAACACGACAAACUCUGCCUGUUUAACACAGAUGUGAUCGUUCUUACAAAGCUGCUUAUCCCAUUUCCCAACUACAUUUUUAAUAAGAAAUUGCUAGUAUCAGGGACUCAAAAUGUAAGCUCAUCUAUGCUGUUUCUGUUUAAAGAAAAAAGAAAGUGCAAGCAUUAUUAUUCCUGGUGAGUUCGUUGCUCCUUGGACUUCCUUGUACAGGAAACAGAUGUAAACUGAGACGUUCCAGCUAUCAGAGAAAUAUGACAUGCUGCCUUUCUCCUCUCUCCCUUUUUUGAAGACUUAAGCUUCCAGACUCCCUGCUAGAAAGCCUAAACGUUGCACAAGGAGAUGAAUUUCCCCAGCCUCAUCUGCAGAUCAGUUGCAGAAAACUGAUGAAACCAGAAGAGGUGAAAGACUUCUGGUGAUGGAGACUCAAAGCAAAAGACAGACACAGGAGACCCUCAGAUGGAAGAGAGAAGAGAAUGGAUUUUGUCACCAGCCUCUGAGAUACAUGUGUCUGCCUUACAGAUAGAAAGUUACUGCAAAGAGGACUUUUAUGCUGGCUGCAUACCUGUGUGGAAGCCACCUCUGUGGUUUACCUGGUUGAAGCUCCUGUUAGCACUUGAAUUUCAUCCAUCCUGCAGCAUGACCUGGUGGUUCUGUGAUACCACCAUCAGAAGAUGUAGGUAACCUUCAAUCUUUUAAUGUGUUCACCUGUCCUGGGACAAGUGAGGCAGAGAAACACAUCCUUGUAUCCUUGUUCGGUAGCUGAUGAAGUAAGGGCCUGAGAGGUGGGUUGUAUGGUGGCAGCAGAUGAGUGGCUUGGAUGUCUCCAGCCCUUAGGCUGGAGUCUUGUUUAUUAGCCCAGUCUUAAAAAUGUAUAAAAUCACAGUUACAAAUGAUAGGCUGUGGCAGCUGGCUGUGCCUGGCCUGUCAGAAUUAGGGAAUUUGUGUUUCUUUCUCAACAGCAAUGACUGAAGAGAAGGGUGCUGUUCACACUGACACACCCACAAACACUUACACUGGCUCAUUGUGAAACAUUUGGCAUUUCGUGUUGCACAAGCCAAAAGGGAAAGGAUUUAGGCUGACAACUGGAAGUAGAGGUGAAACAGCAGUCAAGGUGUACUGAGGAUGUUGCUAGCAUUUCAUAUCUCCAUGGAUCCCAGCCCAAAGAUGACAAAUAUCUAGUGCAGGGGACUAGAAAUGGCACUGGGAGAAAACAAGUUAAGGGAGUGACUAAGACAGGUUUCCCCCAUCAUUUUCUGUUUUGUAAUAUUAGAAAGAUCUGUUAUGGAUCAGUGUUUAUGAACCAGACAGCAGUGACCUUUUAGAAAUGGGAUUUGGCUGGGGUCUUACAAAGGUCCUCAAUAAUGUAAACUCUACUCACACAAAUAAAGAACACAAAGUGAGAUUUCUGCA
rnacentral:lncRNA from 1 species